UACGUAGGGUGCGAGCGUUGUCCGGAAUUAUUGGGCGUAAAGAGCGUGUAGGCGGUUCGGUAAGUCUGUCGUGAAAUCCUGAGGCUCAACCUCGGGCGUGCGAUGGAUACUGCCGGGCUAGAGGGUGGUAGAGGCGAGUGGAAUUCCCGGUGUAGCGGUGGAAUGCGUAGAGAUCCGGAAGAACACCGGUGGCGAAGGCGGUCUGCUGGGCAGUAGCUGACGCUGAGGCGCGACAGCGUGGGGAGCAAACAGG
rnacentral:rRNA from 1 species